CUAUGGGGUGCUCCAGUGAGGAAUAUUGCACAAUGGGGGGAACCCUGAUGCAGUAACGCCGCGUGGAGGAUGACGCAUUUCGGUGUGUAAACUCCUUUUAUAUGUCAAGAAAAUGACGGUAGCAUAUGAAUAAGCACCGGCUAACUCCGUGCCAGCAGCCGCGGUAAUACGGAGGGUGCAAGCGUUACUCGGAAUCACUGGGCGUAAAGGACGCGUAGGCGGGUUGGAAAGUCAGGUGUGAAAUCCUACAGCUUAACUGUAGAACUGCACUUGAAACUUCUAAUCUAGAGUAUGGGAGGGGGAGAUGGAAUUAGUGGUGUAGGGGUAAAAUCCGUAGAUAUCACUAGGAAUACCUAAAGCGAAGGCGAUCUCCUGGAACAUUCUGACGCUAAGGCGUGAAAGCGUGGGGAGCAAACAGGAUUAGAUACCCCCGUAGUC
rnacentral:rRNA from 1 species